UGUGAGAGGCUUGUCAGUUUCAUUGA
rnacentral:piRNA from 1 species